AGUCAGUGUAGAAAGCCCAGGCAUUGUCCCAUAGCUGGCCCUGUGUGUUUGCACUGAUUCCUCAGAAUAAGUUUGCAGAUAGCUUAACUUCCAGAAUUCCUGAGUUUCACUAGUCCCCCUUCUUUAUGAUGAAUUGGAAAAAGGGUAUAUUCUGGGAUAAAGCAAGAGGAAACUGGGUGCAGCAAAGAUCCCUAGACCAUUUUUCCCAGUGGCCCAUUGCUCCUGCUGCUUUUUUCAUACCAGCUGAAUCUCCCUAAACCCCACGUCUGCGGCAAAGUCUUCGUGGUGAAACAGGUGAGUCACACUUUUCUGCUUCUCUGCAAUUACAAAUGUUAUCACCUCAUCUGACACAGAGAGGGUGUUGGUUGGAAAUACGCAUUAGGAAUAAGCUCUUUGGAAACAGCAAAACUGCCUUCAUGAAAUGAAGACUUUUUUUUAGAAAGUCUGGAGCUAAAGUUAUAAAAAUAAAGAGGCGUCAUCUCCCUUUCCUUCUCCUACAAUAAUGGAAAUGAAAUAUCAAAGUAAACAGCACCACAUCCAUGUCCUCAGCACAUGUGACUCGCUAACAGAACCAUGCCAGCCACCCCAUCCCUUCUCUCCCAUAUUCUCUGCUGUUCUCACUGUCUCUCAAGACCUGAUUUAAAACCACCUUCACUAAGAAGUCUUCCUGUCCCCCUUCUGGUCCUUCACGGAAUAUUAUUUUGCUUCUGAAACUUAAAAAAACAAUUUUGUUCUCAGGUCAUUCUCUGUGUACAUCCCAUCUCGUCCAUCCUACAGAUUAGAUGUUCUUCCAGGGUAGAGGCGACCCCAUCUCAUGUCUUUUUAUUCUCCCUCUGCUUUUUAUUCCCACAGGCAGUCUUCAGUACAAGAAGCGUCAAUCUCAGAUCUUACUCAUUUCCAACCUGUACCAAUCAAAGGCCCUCCCAGCCAAGAUAAAAGCAAAGUCUCCCUCCUCCAGAGCACAUGGGAAUGGCCCCCCAGUAGCUGGGGCAUGCAAGCUAAUGAAGUUUCAUCUUCCACCUCUAUCCAAAUAUGACCUUGCUGAUACCAUCUCCUAUUAGAUGACAAAUCCGGAUGUUUCUAUUGCAUGGUUGUUAUUUGCCACAUGCUUCCUGGACAAGUUUCUAGGUAACCUUAAUGUCUGUGCUUCUGGGGAAGGAGGAGUAGAAAAUAACUCACCUCUUCAGUAAGUGGUUUUAAAAAUAUAACAGUGUUUAAAAGCUUUUAGAGAGCAGCUCUCCUUCCGGCUGCUCCAGCUCUGUUUGCUUUGUGAUAGGAGCCCCCGUAACACUUCGUGCUUGGCAACAUCUGACGAGGACAGAAGGCAGGUUUAAAGCUGAGAAGAUUGAUUUUUCCUUUGUAGGGCUUUCCAUGAGGGGCGUGGGAGAGAAGUCACUUGGGGAAGCAGUGGUCAGUGAGGUUUACUUCUCCAUAUGCUCUGCAUUCAUGUGUAAGGCUAAACAAACGUGUUGUCUCCGCAAGCAAAUCCCACACCACAGAGAGGAGCAGUUUGUCCUGGAGGUCCUAAGGAGGUGACCAGUGACCUGGAGGGUAAAAGGUUGGGGCUCCUGAGACCUUUCUUCCAACUCUCAUUUCCAUCCUAAACUGGCAGGGGAAAUGUACCCAAAUUGCCUGUGUGUUUCGAUUUGAUGUGGACACACUGUGACCACUCAGGAUCGCUCUGGUGCUGCUGAACUCCAUGGUUCAUAUUAGGCCCGACUGUCUAGUUUUAGAAAGUGGGAGGAGAUUUCCCCUCUGCCAGGGCUUGGGGUUUAUGUUCCCCAGAGCAUUGAGCAAGAGCCUCAUGUUUACAGAAAUCUCAGGCCCCAUGAUUUCUUCCUGUCAGGGUAGAAGGAGAAGGAGUAGGCACAGACUGUGGAGUAGAUCUUGCCACUUCAGUCCCUUUGUUCUUGCCCAGCAUGAGGUUACCAAGGAAAGGAUACCUGGGGCGCUGGGGGUGAGGCCAGCUGCCAUGUGUCAGGACACUCAGGCAGCCUGUGGAAAGCUGCACAUGGUGAGGAACAGAGGGCUCCAGUCAAACGACCAAUGCCAACAACCAUGUUCCCAGGUGCUGCUGUUGCUGCCGGGGGUCAGAGGAUACCCUCUGAGAACUGGUGCUCUGACAAACAAUGGGUAAGCAUGGCUGUUGUUAGGCUAUCCUUAUCAGUGUGAGUACAGAUCAGAACAAGGGUGUAGAACAGAUUUCCUUUUGUUCUGAGCUGAAUGCAAACAGCAAUUACCAUACGUUGCACCAAUAGGUGGAAACUGAGUCUGGCCAUGAUGCAUUGCAUCCCACCUCCAGGCAGAAUACAGGAGGAGGGGUGGUUACAAUAGUGGGUGGGGGCCCUGAGGGCUGUCAAGUUAUCUGUGGAAUGGCCUCAACUCAAGGGUAAUGUUAGCAGGAAGGGAGGCAUUUUCAUAGCAGAUUGAGGUGUUUACCUGGUUGAAGAAGCCGAGGCAGUGAGGAAUGCCUGGCCCAGAGCAGAGCAGGGCAAUGGAAAUGUUACCUCCUGUAAAAAGGGGUUUACAUCAGUACUCUUGGGAGAAAAACUUUCAAGGAGGCAGAACAUGACUGGGCUGUGAGGAGACCUUACUGGGUCCCUCCAGUUACCAGGCCAAUUUUGGGGCUCAGCACCAAGCCUGAGAGGAUGAGCUCUUAAGGCAGGCUGACAGGAGGUGGGUACAGUGGGGGAGAUAAGACCUGUGUUGUUUUUUGUUUUUUUUUUUGAGACACCGUCUCACUCUGUCACCCAGGCUGGAGUGCAAUGGCGUGAUCUUGGCUCACUGCAUCCUCCGCCUCCCGAGAUGAAGUGAUUCUCCUGCCCUAGCCUCCUGAGUAGCUAAGAUCACAAGCGCCCGCUACCAUGCCCGGCUCAUUUUUGUAUUUUUAGUAGAGAGAGGGUUUCACCAGCUUGGCCAGGCUGGUCUCGAACUCCUGACCUCAGGCAAUCCGCCCGCCUUGGCCUCCCAAACUGCUGGGAUUACAGGCCUAAGCUUCCACGCCCGGCCACGACCUGCAUUCUUGGCUAGCGCUGAUACCGAUGGACCUUUCCUGGCCUGUUUCUUCUUGGUGGUUUAUCCCACCUCAUGCUAAAAAUAGUUUAAAAGAAGGGCCCAUUGAGAAAGCCUGGAAACAUCUGUAAAAGGCAUAAAGAGGCCGGGCGCGGUGGCUCACGCCUGUAAUCCCAGCACUGUGGGAGGCCGAGGUGGGCGGAUCACAAGGUCAGGAAAUCGAGACCAUCCUGGCUAACACGGUGAAACCCCGUCUCUACUAAAAAUACAAAAAAUUAGCCGAGCGUGGUUGCGGGCGCCUGUAGUCCCAGCUACUCGGGAGGCUGAGGCAGGAGAACGGCGUGAACCCGGAAGGCGGAGCUUGCAGUGAGCGGAGAUCGCGCCAUUACACUCCAGCCUGGGAGAGACAGAGCGAGACUCCGUCUCGGGAAAAAAAAAAAAAAAAAAAAAAAGGCAUAAAGCAUUGAUUGUCAAGUGGUCUGGUAAGAAAAUACUUACUGCGCUUCCUUACUUUUGCUCAUUUUUCAUUCCCAAAAGGGCUUCUUUUCAGUUUCUCUGACCCUCGGGCAUCUUUCUCCCAGCCCCCUUGUUUCAGUUUCCUGCUUGCCCACCAAUAACCUCGUUAGAGCCACACCACACACAUGGUUCGCCUGCUGCUGACAACAGACAGAGCUCAUGGGCAAUUUUAAUAGUGCAGAUGUUAUUUCUCUUCUUCUCAGAGGAACGGCCUCUGAGAGCCCCACAGUGAUGGGGCUAUAACCCCAGAAACCUCCACAAGGGAGGGGCCAGCCAGUCUCGGCUCUCUGCACUCACUGUGCACCAGCCUCUGGCCUCCAGGAAGACGGAGGGCGCUGGGGAAGGCAGUCAUGGUUCCUCCCCAGCUCAAACUUUCCCAUGUGAAAUCCCGUGGGCCAGUUUGAGGUCCACUGGCCACUAAAAUGCAAUCUCUCUGUUUUGGAAACUUUCCUCAGAACUAAUUAGCAACAAGAGACGCUCACAGAUAAGAACCUCAAAUACCAAAACACCACUGAUAAGGCACUAACUGACAUGCCUAGACCUGAGGAGGGAAUCAUGUCUGGGCUUCAUCUCCCCAGCAAUGGGUAGUAAAGGCAAACAAGCCAUUGAAGGAACAAGUUCAGCAACAAAAAAGCAAGGCCCUAAAUAGCUUUUGUUAAUGAGAAGUGAUUUGGAUACACAUACAUUCAGUGAGCCUAAAGUCCGUCUUACCUUGGGGCCUGUCUACCAUGCUCUUUAUGGAGCUCUCCCCUCAACAAAUAUUAGCUUUAGCCACCUCUUGGGGAAGCCUGACCCCACUGCCUCACUGUGCCACGUCCCCUUAUUAUUAAUUCUCACAGCCAACCUUUUAUUUUGGAGCAUUUACCACAACUGGAAUCAAGUUGUGUCAUUUGCAUUUCUCUUGUUCAAUGGUGUAUUCCCACCACCUAGCACAAAGUCUAUGUAAAUAUUUGCAGAACAAAUAUGCAUGGCUUCUAUGACUGAGGAACUCACAAAUAUAUAUAAGAGGGUUUCAUGCAGGACUUGCUGACAGCUUUGGUUGAAGUCACAAGAUGUGCCAUCUACAUCCACAACUUCCACACUGUAGUGUAACUCAGAUUCUGAACCCUAUAUUGCAGGACUCACAGAGAGGAGUAGUAAAAAAAAAAAGCCAGUUUUUCUCCCUUCACUUCUGGCUCCUCACUGAUGUAAGGGGUGGAAGUAGAAAAGUCAGCUCAUGUUAGAAAUCAGGGUUUCUAUAGAGGGUUGGCAGUGAGCUUCCCUCUUGCCACAAGGCUAAAGAGAACAGCUUCAUAAAGAGUACUUAGAAAAAGUAAUUUGUGACACCUCAAGCUUGGGGGACACACAGGGCUGGUAUGUGACUUGUGCCUGAAAAUAAAGGUCUAGCAGAGUCAAGGAUGCAUUUGGAAGUCACUACACUCACGGAUACCAGCCCAAAAGUGCUGAUUGGUCUAUGACUGGGGUGGGAGUGUGGGUGAGCGACCAGAUGGGACACCUCGAGUUGGCAUGUUGGUAUGAUCAUUUUUAAAUGGGCAGUAAGCUUACUAGCUUCUUGCCUGAAGUGACGGCAGUAUGCUAUUGGAGGCAGAUGCUGAAGGCCACUGCAAGGGCCAGCCAUAGGAGAGGUCAGAGGAGUCCGAGGCAACCAGGGUGGGCUUUGACAAUGCCCAAAGGAAACCAAGGCCAAGGACUUCAAAGCUGUCAUUCAAUCAGCCCUCUCAUGCUCCUUGUCUCUCCUCCCUACCUUCCCACCCUUUCAUCCUGGGAAAUGCUGGGUGGUGGGAGGAGUGGGGAGGAUGGCAAAAAGCACUUGGCUUCCAGACUAAAGCAGGCCUAAGCUGGACGAGGGGAGAAUAUUCAGUUCUAAAUGUAUUUCAGAACUGUGGCUGUUACAUGACUGGACUUGUGAGUUACUGAAAUGAGGCCCUUGCUAAAAGUGAAUACAGGACUUAUUUAAAAGUAGCUGUCUCUGAGGAAUUCUGGGAACCGCCAGAAAUUUCAUCUCUGAAGGCAAACAGCCCCCAAAAAGUGGAUUUGUAGGGACACACAUGACAAUCGCUGUUGCUUUAUGAUUGUCCCUCAUGGUCAAUGUGACAGUGUUUAAACUUCACAGGCAUUAUCCUACAUUACCAGGGAUGAAAGAAAGAAGAUCUAGGGGUUUAGGCAAAUUGCCCUGGGUCAAAGGUAGGUGAAUGUCACAACUGGAACUCAGGCCCAGGGUAGAGAACUCCAUGUUCCGUUCUUUCCCCCAAUACCACAAAGCAUUUUCUAUCCUCCCCAAUUUUUCAUGCUUUUAGGUCCCUAUUUCUGACCUGGCCUUGUCACCAUCUAUAUGUCAGGUCAUUUUUAACCAAAGACAAGGGGAAAAUGGUAAGAUGUGCAUGCUAACAGAAGAGGGGAGCCAGGGUCAUUCACUCAGUCAAGAGGAGGGAGUGAAGAGAAGGGAGGAGCAGGUGGGGAGGGUGAGUUAAGGAAGGGAGGGGUGGAUGAUAAUUGGCUACCACAGCAAUAAAGAUUUGUCAACAGGGGCAGAGAAAGAGGAGGGAAGGAGGAGGGUGGAGAAAAAGGUGGCUUUGCUGACGGUCCCUAGUGUCCCCUUACAGCUGUUCUCAGCUGCAGAGUUCUGAAGCUCAGGUGGCCACGAGACCCCUAGAGACCCUCCUGGCACUCCUUUGACAAGGCUGAUUUAAAUGAACUCUAUCCUUGGGAGGAGAAGGAAAAACUUACAGGUGUAAGAAAGAGUGAUUUUCACAGCAGCCUUUUAUCCAAAGCAUCUUACCUGUAACGAACAACCCCCUCUAGUAACUAGGUGGCAAGAAGCACUUAGGCUUCCAGACAAAAACGCUCUUUUAAAAACUGUCCUCUAUAAAGACAACUGGAAAAGAGAAUAGAGAGAAUAUUCAAAGUUCAGCUCAAGUUGAGAACAAAUGCAUCAGCACUGUGUCUAAGUUACUGGUAGCCAAGAUGCCAAGAGAAGCUAAUGUGGGACUUGAAAAGAUUCACAGAGGGCCGGGCGUGGUGGCUCAUGCCAGUGCUGCUAAUCCCAGCACUUUGGGAGGCCAAGGUGGGCAGAUCACGAGGUCAGGAGUUCAAGACCAGUGUGGCCAACAUAGUGAAACCCCGUCUCUACUAAAAACACAAAAAAUUAGCCGGGUAUGGUGAUGUGUGCCUGUAAUCCCAGCUACUCAGGAGGCUGAGGCAGGAGAAUCGCAUGAACCCGGGAGGCGGAGGUUGCAGGGAGCUGAGAUCGUGCCACUGCACUCCAGCCUGGGCAACAGAACGAGACUCCCUCUUAAAAAAAAAAAAAAAAAAAGAUUCACAGGAAAAAAAAAGUAUUUCAUAGAGAAAUCUGAUUUUUGAUAGAGAAAUCAAUAGCAGAGCUUUUAAAAUG